UACGAGGGGGGCGAGCGUUGUUCGGAAUUAUUGGGCGUAAAGGGUGCGUAGGCGGUUUGGUAAGUCUUAUGUGAAAUCUACAGGCUCAACUUGUAGUCUGCAUGAGAAACUGCUGAGCUUGAGUACUUAAGAGGAUCGCGGAAUUCCCGGUGUAGAGGUGAAAUUCGUAGAUAUCGGGAGGAACACCAGUGGCGAAGGCGGCGAUCUGGGAAGAUACUGACGCUGAGGUGCGAAAGCGUGGGGAGCAAACAGG
rnacentral:rRNA from 1 species